rnacentral:rRNA from 1 species
CCAAUAGCGUAUAUUAAAGUUGUUGCAGUUAAAAAGCUCGUAGUUGAAUUUCGAGACCGGUUUACUGGUCGUGCUUUUGUACGUACUGGUAUAAUCAGUUUCUCUCUUCUGACGAACUAUAAUGCCAUUAAUUUGGUGUUAUGGGAAAUCAGGACUGUUACUUUGAAAAAAUUAGAGUGUUUAAAGCAGGCUCACGCUUGAAUACAUUAGCAUGGAAUAA